rnacentral:rRNA from 1 species
CCUGAGAAACCCAAAAGAUCGAAUGGGGAGAUUCAUCGCCAGCGGCGUUGGCUUCCGUGCGGCUCGCGAUGGCCGGGACCUCGGUCUCGCGUCACGCGGUCGCCGCGGCAUGUCCGGCGUCGUCGGCGUGCACUUCUCCCCUAGUAGGACGUCGCGACCCGUUGGGUGUCGGAUCAAUGGCCGAUCGGUCGUCUGUUGCGCCUCGGCGCGGCAGACCGAUUGGUUCAACGUCCGGCUGCCCGGCGGUAUAGAACGCUUAAUCACGGUAAUGGGCCGCAACUUGAAUGCGUUCAGGCUCGUCGGCAGGCUCGUCUCGCUCGGAUUUACGGACCUAGCGCCGUUGCCGGGCGCUUGGCGUGGCUGUUAGUCGACGAUGUCCUCGGACUGGCUCUUACCGGUCUGCGACGCUACUGCUUUGGGUACUUUC